UACACUCCUGCGGGAGGCAGCAGUGGGGAAUAUUGCACAAUGGGCGCAAGCCUGAUGCAGCCAUGCCGCGUGUAUGAAGAAGGCCUUCGGGUUGUAAAGUACUUUCAGCGGGGAGGAAGGCGAUAAGGUUAAUAACCUUGUCGAUUGACGUUACCCGCAGAAGAAGCACCGGCUAACUCCGUGCCAGCAGCCGCGGUAAUACGGAGGGUGCACGCGUUAAUCGGAAUUACUGGGCGUAAAGCGCACGCAGGCGGUCUGUCAAGUCGGAUGUGAAAUCCCCGGGCUCAACCUGGGAACUGCAUUCGAAACUGGCAGGCUAGAGUCUUGUAGAGGGGGGUAGAAUUCCAGGUGUAGCGGUGAAAUGCGUAGAGAUCUGGAGGAAUACCGGUGGCGAAGGCGGCCCCCUGGACAAAGACUGACGCUCAGGUGCGAAAGCGUGGGGAGCAAACAGGAUUAGAAACCCCAGUAGUCCCAUG
rnacentral:rRNA from 1 species